AAAUUGUCAAAGACCAGGGAAGACUAGUAGAGAUACAAUAUUACUGUUUUCAACAUGAUAUCCUGAACUGGACUCUGGAACAUAAAGAAACCAUGAACGAAGUCUCUACCUAAGAGACUCAGAUCAAAAGAAGCUAAACAUUUCUCACGAUUGGAAAAUAAUAUACUGUGAACGUUCGAAGACAAAAGUCCUGAUUCUCCCUCAAUCUGGAUCUACAUUGAAUACAAGAGAGCUGAGAGGGAUGGCAGAAGGUGUCCUGAGGAACAGCAAUGAAAAGACUAUUUUGAAUCCGUAUCUGAGUAUAAAAGAACAUGAAAGAUAAUGGGUUAACAAAACAAUCCAUCUGUCUUUCUAAGUAUUUAUGUAUGUAAAGAGAUACGGAGUAUUUAAUAUAAACAUACUCUAGA
rnacentral:lncRNA from 1 species